UGUAGGGUUUCUUCUGCCUAA
rnacentral:siRNA from 1 species